GGCAGUGUGGUUUAGUGGUUAGAAUGUUGGACUAGGCCCUGGGAGACCAGGGUUCAAACCCCUGGUCAGCUG
rnacentral:tRNA from 1 species